UAAGCGGAGGAAAAGAAACUAACAAGGAUUCCCCUAGUAGCGGCGAGCGAAGCGGGAAGAGCUCAAAUUUAUAAUCUGGCACCUUCGGUGUCCGAGUUGUAAUCUCUAGAAGUGUUUUCCGCGUUGGACCGCACACAAGUCUGUUGGAAUACAGCGGCAUAGUGGUGAGACCCCCGUAUAUGGUGCGGACGCCCAACGCUUUGUGAUACACUUUCGAAGAGUCGAGUUGUUUGGGAAUGCAGCUCAAAUUGGGUGGUAAAUUCCAUCUAAAGCUAAAUAUUGGCGAGAGACCGAUAGCGAACAAGUACCGUGAGGGAAAGAUGAAAAGCACUUUGGAAAGAGAGUUAACAGUACGUGAAAUUGUUGGAAGGGAAACGCUUGAAGUCAGACUUGCUUGCCGAGCAAUCGGUUUGCAGGCCAGCAUCAGUUUUCCGGGGUGGAUAAUGGUAGAGAGAAGGUAGCAGUUUCGGCUGUGUUAUAGCUCUUUGCUGGAUACACCUUGGGGGACUGAGGAACGCAGUGUGCCUUACGGCGGAUUUCUCGAGAUCUUCACACUUAGGAUGCUGGUGGAAUGGCUUUAAACGACCCGUCU
rnacentral:rRNA from 1 species